UGUAGAGAAUCUGCCUUUGAGCGGGGGACAACAGUUGGAAACGAUUGCUAAUACCCCAUAUGAGCGUACCUGAAAUGGUAUUCUUGAAAACUCCGGUGCUCAAAGAUGAGUCUGCAUCUGAUUAGCUAGUUGGCGGUGUAAUGGACCACAGGCGACGAUCAGUAGCUGGUUUGAGAGGAUGAUCAGCCACAAUGGGACUGAGACACGGCCCAUACUCCUACGGGAGGCAGCAG
rnacentral:rRNA from 1 species